GGCUGGAUUCCCUGCCAGCAUGGAAUGAGGCAGGCAUUGUGGGGGAAGUGGUGGUUGAGCCACUUCCUGUGGGUGUCUCAGGGCUCACCUGGCUCCUUUCCCAGGGCAGAGGUUGAGCAGCAGCACUGCGUUUCAUGCAAAGACCCGGGGGUUCAAAGCCGCGUGGCUUCUGCGGGUCCCACAGGCCGGGCUGUGGUGCGGCUGGUGUCUGUGUGCUCAGCUGAUUCCGAGAUGGCCCCUGCUCAAGUCUGCUGGCAAAGGCGGCGGAGUUCGGCGCGGGAGCUUUUUACCAGCGCAGGGAUGUGGAGGGAGAGAGCUCAGCAGCGCUGGUCCUGUUCAUUCGAUCCAUUCAUCAGUGUUGGAGAGAGGCGCAGAGGAUGCAGGAGGCUUGGGGGUUAAGGAACCUGUCCAAGCAGCAUGGAGAGGAGGCGGUGCCACCAGGAAUCAAUAGUGUCAUUUUGGGGCAGGGGAUUUAGCUCAGUGAUUCCGCUGCCUGCCUCGGUACCCCCCCAAAAGUGUCAUUUUGGAGUUCAUAAACUUCACCAUGUUUGCCUCUCCAGUGACCUCGAGUCGUAGGGAUUUUCCCUGCCUGCUCUGGGGUUUGACACAGGGUUUAAGACCAAGCAGUGCACAAGUGUCAAUCCGUAACCCAACCGUGGUCAGCAGAGCUGUUUGCGCAUCCGGCCCACAGGGGGCGCAGCUCUGAAAGCGUGAAGUGGGCAGGGUUAGGGUCUAACCCUAAACCAGUGUCUUCUGUAGGCUGCGGCUACCACAUUAGCCUUAACCACCAUCCCUAGGAUGUGCCAUCCCUCCACGAUGGCAAGGAUGCUGGUGUUUCGUCCCCACAUCCCUGGUCACCACAACAGUGCCGGCCACACAAGGCCCGCAGUGGGCCUUGUUGAACUUAAGCUGUCCGCAGGUGGCACAGGGCGACAUGGGAGUUCUCACACACACCCCUGGCCAUGGGCAUUCGUCCACUACCUGGACACGCACACGUGCAUGCACGGCAGCUGUGUCUGAGUCAGCAGACGUGGGGGAGAGCUAUGCCCUGGCCGGACCAGUGUGAGGAAACCGCACUGGUUCACAGCAGGGCGCACGUGAGCCGGCCAGCCAUUUUUUUUCCAGCAGGG
rnacentral:lncRNA from 1 species